rnacentral:misc_RNA from 1 species
GAUGAAGAACGUAGCGAAAUGCGAUAAGUAAUGUGAAUUGCAGAAUUCAGUGAAUCAUCGAAUCUUUGAACGCACAUUGCGCCCUCUGGUAUUCCGGGGGGCAUGCCUGUUCGAGCGUCAUUAUAACCACUCAAGCUCAGCUUGGUGUUGGGGCCUGCUGCACUGGCAGCCCUUAAAAUCAGUGGCGGCGCCAUCUGGCUCUAAGCGUAGUAAUUCUUCUCGCUAUGGAGUCCUGGUGGAUGCUUGCCAUCAACCCCCAAUUUUUCUAUGGUUGACCUCGGAUCAGGUAGGGAUACCCGCUGAACUUAAGCAUAUCAAUAAGCGGAGGA